rnacentral:rRNA from 1 species
AUGAACGCUGGCGGCGUGCCUAAUACAUGCCAGUCGAGCGAACAGACGAGGAGCUUGCUCCUCUGACGUUAGCGGCGGACGGGUGAGUAACACGUGGAUAACCUACCUAUAAGACUGGGAUAACUUCGGGAAACCGGAGCUAAUACCGGAUAAUAUAUUGAACCGCAUGGUUCAAUAGUGAAAGACGGUUUUGCUGUCACUUAUAGAUGGAUCCGCGCCGUAUUAGCUAGUUGGUAAGGUAACGGCUUACCAAGGCAACGAUGCGUAGCCGACCUGAGAGGGUGAUCGGCCACACUGGAACUGAGACACGGUCCAGACUCCUACGGGAGGCAGCAGUAGGGAAUCUUCCGCAAUGGGCGAAAGCUUGACGGAGCAACGCCGCGUGAGUGAUGAAGGUCCUCGGAUCGUAAAACUCUGUUAUUAGGGAAGAACAAAUGUGUAAGUAACUAUGCACGUCUUGACGGUACCUAAUCAGAAAGCCACGGCUAACUACGUG